GGAUGCGAUCAUACCAGCACUAAAGCACCGGAUCCCAUCAGAACUCCAAAGUUAAGCGUGCUUGGGUGAGAAUAGUACUAGGAUGGGUGACCUCCUGGGAAGUCCUCGUGUUGGAUUCC
rnacentral:rRNA from 2 species